UGAGCAAUCUGCCCUUCUCAUCGGAAUAAGCGUUGGAAACGACGUCUAAUGCCGAAUACGACCUCCUUUCGCAUGAUCGGAGGUGGAAAGCUCCGGCGGAGAAGGAUGAGUUCGCGGCCUAUCAGCUAGUUGGUGUGGGUAAUGGCCCACCAAGGCGACGACGGGUAGCCGGCCUGAGAGGGUGACCGGCCACACUGGGACUGAGACACGGCCCAGACUCCGUACGGGAGGNAGCG
rnacentral:rRNA from 1 species